rnacentral:rRNA from 1 species
UACGGGGGGGGUAAGCGUUGUUCGGAAUUACUGGGCGUAAAGCGCGUGUAGGCGGUCCGAUUAGUCGGCUGUGAAAGUCAAGGGCUCAACCCUUGAAUGCCGGUCGAUACUGUCGGACUAGAGUCCGGAAGAGGCAAGUGGAAUUCCCGGUGUAGCGGUGAAAUGCGUAGAUAUCUGGAGGAAUACCGGUGGCGAAGGCGGCAUCCUGGACCGGCAUUGACGCUGAUGAGCGAAAGCUAGGGGAGCAAACGGG